GCAUAGCCUACUGCACGCCUAGGCUGUAUGUUAUUACUCUGAUGGGACCACUGUCAUAUGUGGUUUGUCAUUGAAGGAAACUUCGUUACACAGCACAUGACUAGUCUGGGUUUUUUUUAAAGCACAUUCAUUUAAAUUGGCCAUUUAGCAACUGGCUUUUGAGCAACUGACCUGGAGCUGCUACUACCUGCCAUCUGGGUGAGGAGAAAGAAGCUGCUGAUUAUUGUCCCCUGUUUGUGAUGUCAGGAAGCAGAGCAUUGAGAUCACAAAACACCAGUGUGGAGCCAGGCAUCUGAGGCCACUGUGUGGGUAUCUUCUGAUGGUCCUGGAGACGCCUGCUGACACUUCACUCUGCUCUUUGGGGCUUUCCCCAGAAGACUGUGGGAUGGACCCCAGCCUAGGGGAUGCUAAGAUGAAUACCAAAAGAGCUCAUUUCAUUCAUCUGCCGUGUUAGCAUCAAACAUCUACUCAAGCCUUGAAACCUGAGAAGGAGAAGCCCUCUGUCCCUAGGAUUAAGGGAUAGGGGAAUGAAAUAGAUUUCCUGUAUCAAACAUUACACUCUAGUAGAUGAGCCUCCUCUUUAAGAAGCUGUCUUCAAGUGUGCUUAAUUUUGCCUCAAUCGGGUAAAAGAAUUGAGUUCUUGAGAGCUACAUGUUUUCAUCAGUAACUCAGGGCUAUCCAUCAUGUCAAGACACUUAAACAGAGGUGAGAUUUGAAGCUGUGAAAGAGAAUGACCAAGGAAGAGGCAGAAGGAAAAUGAGAGGUAACCACUGAAGGAGAUAGACGUGGUCAUGGAGGUUCAAUUGGAGCGGCUCAUGCUCUAGACACAAAGGGCGGAGAGGGAGAAGCUGGUAGAUCCGAAAGAAGUCGUUAGAAUCUGAAUACUAUUGUGUGUCUCCACCACCAAAAAGAACAUUUAUCAAGAGUAAUUAGGCAAAUUGAGGGUAUGAACCCCAGAAGAAACAAUGUAUUUUGACAAGAAAAAUUGGUUGGCAAAUGUUAAGGUUUUUAUGAGUAAUCAAGAUGAUUCUUUAAGUAAUUAUAAUUUGUUCUAUACCCUGUCAUGGUUGUUUUGAUUUGUGGCUUUUAUCAGUGAAUAAAGUUAUUUAGUUUUCCUUAUUUUUAGGAAGACUCACAGUAUUGAAAUACGUCAAAUGCCAAUGAUGUUAGAUUUCUUGAAUAUUUUCCCUUUUUUAGUGCCUGAUGAGUCAUUGGACUAUCAUUCCAUCCCAGGAACAUUACGGUGACACCAGUCUUAGUCACGAAACCAUUGCUGUGCCAGGGGGCGGGGAGCAGGAUAUGGGAAGAAGUCUACACAAUGAGAAGAAUCUGGUUUAAUCUUAAAGUUGGAAUUAUUACCUACAUUUUUAAAGCAAAUUUAUUUUAAGGUAGAUUUCCAAAUCUCCAAUUGCUCAGCUGCCCUAUUAUCAUUCUGUGCCCAGAGGCACAAAGUCUUGGGUUUCGGGGAUAUGCAAUUUGGAGGCUAUAGCUUCACAAUUCAAUAUUCUUUUCAGCAGCAUGAGGAAUGGGGUUUGGAGGAUUACCCUACAGGAAGGUUCAGUGUAGUCAUUGAAAGUAAGCUUCAUGUCACCACAGAAGCAUAAGGCUGGAGCACAUCUAAAGGCGAGCAGGUUCAACCUCUCACUGAAAUAUAAAGCUCGUAGUAACGAGGCUCUUAGAAACUUUCCCACGGAGGAGACAAACACCAAAUGGUUGUUGAUUAGUAAAGUAUUUGGGUUAGUAAAGCAUUGCAUACUAUUGAAAAAUCUAAACAGAAAAGCUGUUUUCAAACAUGAUAAAUAGGUCAAAGAGUUCUUCUGUAAGAAGUAAGACAGCUUCCCUUGUCAUGAUAUAAUGCAUCAAAAUACAACAAAAUAUUGGGACUUUGGCUUUUCAGUGGGAAAAUGAAUUACAAGUGGAAAAUCUAGCAGUACUGACUUUGGUUUUCGCUCCUUGUCAGAACUGGGUGCUCAAGGAUUUGAUAAUGGCCCAGGAAGUUGACUUGAGUGGUAACAUUUUGAUUCAUGGACACUUGAAGCAGCCUGAGAAAUAAAUCCUAUGCCUUUAGUUUCUCCCCUCAUCCCUGACCUCUGUCUGCAUCCGCAGGUGGUGAUGGGAAGGAGAAGGUGUGUCCCUUAUGGCUUCACUUUUCUCCAUGAAGUAGAAGGUUCUCUAUCCCAUUCUCAUGGCUAUAGAUUGGUCAGGUCAGAUGUCUACAUGGACAUUAUUUUGAGCUUUGAAAUAAUCUUAUUUUAGGUAUUAUUUUGUUGCAACAUCUCAGUUUUAAGUGGAUUGAGAAGUAUGGCCUCUGUGUUUCCCUAGGUGUUCCUAUUUCAUUGUAAUUAGCUAAUGCUUUGAAUUACUAAACAGCUUUAGAAACAAAGUAAAUUCUCAUAGAAGCUCUAUAAAAAAUAGUUCCAUUUUACAUAAAUCGCAUAUACAGAGAUUGAAAAAGACCCCCAAACAAGGAGAUCUAGAAGAAACUGGCCAUUUAAUCUAGUUAAACAAUUAGUCAGUUCUGGCAAUCAGUUUUAAUCGUUUUUCAAGAAAUUGACUGCAGCUGCCAAUUGCUUUGGCCUUUUUAUAGCUGUAACAUGAUGAUAAGAUAAGGCUUUCUACCUGAUUAUCUGUAUGCUUUUCUCUAAAUUCUUUCCUUUUUUUGUCUGUAAAUUGAUUAUUUAAUGAGCAAAUAUUAUUUUACUUGGUUCUGACUAUUAAUUGUCAAUUUUUUACUAUUAAUCAAAGUUAGAAGGAGGAAAAUUAUUCUUUGACUGGUUAGUGAUUUAACGUUAUAAGAAGUUUUCUGGUGCUCAGAAAAAUCUUAUCUAAACCAACAUCUUUUACAAUGGAGAAAACUGAAAUUCAUUUUCCUAUUCAGAUGUUACUUUCAUUUUUAUUGUUGAUG
rnacentral:lncRNA from 1 species